UACGUAGGGGGCAAGCGUUGUCCGGAUUCAUUGGGCGUAAAGAGCGUGUAGGCGGCCAAGCAGGUCCGCUGUGAAAACUCGAGGCUCAACCUCGAGACGUCGGUGGAAACCGUUUGGCUAGAGUCCGGAAGAGGAGAGUGGAAUUCCCGGUGUGAGCGGUGAAAUGCGCAGAUAUCGGGAAGAACACCCGUGGCGAAGGCGGCUCUCUGGGACGGUACUGACGCUGAGACGCGAAAGCGUGGGGAGCGAACGAGG
rnacentral:rRNA from 1 species